UAGGGAAUCUUCCACAAUGGACGCAAGUCUGAUGGAGCAACGCCGCGUGUGUGAUGAAGGGUUUCGGCUCGUAAAACACUGUUGUAAGAGAAGAAUGACAUUGAGAGUAACUGUUCAAUGUGUGACGGUAUCUUACCAGAAAGGAACGGCUAAAUACGUGCCAC
rnacentral:rRNA from 1 species